AGUCACUGACAUUAGAUACCCGGGUAGUCCAGGGUGUAAACGCUGCAGACUUGGUGUUGGGAACCCUUCGGGGGUGCUCAGUGCCGGAGAGAAGUUGUUAAGUCUGCUACUUGGGAGUACGUCCGCAAGGAUGAAACUUAAAGGAAUUGGCGGGGGAGCACCGCAACGGGAGGAGCGUGCGGUUUAAUUGGAUUCAACACCGUAAAACUCACCAGGGAAGACUGUUACAUGAAAGCCGAGAUGAAGACUCUGCUAGAUUUUCAG
rnacentral:rRNA from 1 species